CCCUUAGAUGUUCUGGGCCGCACGCGCGCUACACUGACGAAGUCAGCGAGCAUGUCCUACGCCGACAGGUGCGGGGAAUCUUGUCAAACUUCGUCGUGAUGGGGAUUGAUUAUUGAAAUUCUUGAUCAUCAACGAGGAAUUCCUAGAAAGCGCAAGUCAGCAGCUUGCGUUGAUUACGUCCCUGCCCUUUGUACACACCGCCCGUCGCUACUACCGAUUGAAUGGUUUAGUGAGAUCUUCGGAUUGGCGCCACUGCGGCUCAGCAAUGGGCUCGGUGGAUGCCGAAAAGUUGAUCAAACUUGAUCAUUUAGAGGAAGUAAAAGUCGUAACA
rnacentral:rRNA from 1 species